rnacentral:lncRNA from 1 species
CUUCGAGCUGGUCAACCUGCAAUUAUCAGAGUGCCAGAGAAAAUAAUGAGACAAAUUUGGCUAACGUUGUUUACAUCUUUAGAUGACUUAAAUGCCUAUAGUUCUAGUUUUUAAAAGCAUAGAACAGAACAAAAAUAACUAAGCUGUAGAAUUAUGUGUAACAGUUGUUCACUCAUGUAUUGGGUGUCCCCAAAAAAACAUGGACUCUGUGUGAUUUCAUGUAACGAAAAAGCUAUGAAAGCUAUCGCAAUGAAAUAAAGUUCAUUGCAUUCAGAAAGGACUAACUUAGAUUUUGAUAUAUAACACUUCAAUUUACGUGCAAUAAUGACUGUGCUGUUGAUGUUUGAACGUUGAACUAUACUGUGUUUCAAAACGCCAAAAAUUAGCAUAUAAACAACCUUAUAAUUACCGAUGUAUAGUUAUACAAAUAAGGCAAAUAAACAGAAUAAAAUAAAGAGAAAAGUCCUUUAAAAGACUCCUAGGAAUGCACUUGAACAAGUGGAUGAAUAAGAAUGUUCCGACGAAGGGCGUGUUUACUCGGAUCAUUCAACUCAUCUAUGCUCGUCGGUUUUGAAAUAGAACUUAGGCUAAUUUAUACUGAAACGGAACAAGUUAAGUAUGUUCCGCACACCAAAAAUAUAAUACGGGAACACUUUGCGUGAAUGAACAUGCACGAUUGCACUGGUUUCCGUAGAACGUUAUCGAACGUGACAACCUCUAUACUAUCUCUGGAAUGCCUGAAAUUUCAUUCAUGCAGUGUAAAAUUGCCGUUGAUACUUCCUUAUUUGUUUAAAGCGGGACAACGUAACUAGUAAUUAGGCCAUUUGUAUAAUGACAAUGCAAAAUUAACAUCCGAGCUAGUGGAUAUAGGAUUUUUCUACAAAUCUUUCAAUUUUAAAUUUUGAUUUUUCAAUUUUAAAUUUUGAUUUUUUUAACUGCUAGGGUGAGCUGGAGUGAUUUGGGAUGGGCCAUGGAAGUUCUUUGGGCAGUUUCGAUGAGCUCCAAUUGUUUUGUAUGUCCACGGUUGGGCCACCAAACAAAAACCCAUGUUAAUUAUAUAUUAUAUAAAGAUAUUAAUAAUAAAAGUAAACAAAACUAUUCAACUUAUCAAAUGCAAAUGAUGCUAUUGAAGCCAGUACUUUGUUUUAUACAACAACAAGAAGUGGACGAAUCACAGCAAGUACAACCAACUGGAGAGCAGCUCAGUAUCGUAAUUGGUGAUGAAUGUGUUGGUCUAUGGCUUGGUAGAAUUAUGUAUGUCAAUACAGUGCCGGUGUAUAUUUACAAUGUUCAUGCCUGCAAGUUUUUUUUUAUUAUAAAAGUGUAUUUUCCCAAUUUAGAUCGGGUGGGUGGGUCAUGAAAUAAAUUUGGUAAGAUUAGAUGGGCUUUGAAAUUUUUAUCUACAUCCUAAGAUGGGUCACCAAACUUAUUGGCAAAAUUUGUGAUUUACCUCCAGCCCACCCUACCAGAUGACCAGUCCUUUAUGACCAGUCCCUAAAUUUUUUCUUUGUUUCUAGUUUGCUGUAUAUUUUCUAGUUUGCUGUUUGGUGAAGGAAACAAUACGAAAAACAAUAUAAAUGGUAAGUCAGUGCAAAAUGUUGCCAUGAAAAUUAAUUAUACAUAUUUUAAUUAGCAUUCGUAUGUUUGUCCAUUAAUCAGACAUAAAAACUCUAUUGUUAUUCUUCUGUUAGUUUGUGCUGCUAGUUAUGCUGUAUGACUAUUUGCAUGUGUGCCAAAUAAAGCUGUUAAAUCUUUAAUAAAAUUGAAUAAACUCGAUAAUAAUUCAGGAAAUCACUAUACCGCGUGUCUGUGGUUUCAUAUGUGAUAAAAUCACGUUCAUUUACAUAAACUUUAGCUUUGAUUUUCUCGGCUUAGAGAACGUUUAUUUUUAAAAUUACUUCGCCAAUGAACUCAUCAGAUGGGUCGUUUUUCAAGCCAUUUGAAACACUCGUGUACUGUUCGACACUCGUGUUUUAUAUCUGAUAAAGCCGCAGUUUACAUAAUACAUUGAGUAGCACUGCUAUCGUUAAGUUCAAGUUUAAAUCUUUCCAGGCAAAUUAAACAAGAGGGCACUAAUAGACCUUUCCAAAUGACGUCACACGGGAAAAAAACCUAAUGCGGUGUCCAAAGCCGGUUCAUUUUUUAGCGACAAAUUCGCAAUGCAAAUGACGUUUUAUGUAUUUAAUUGGCUCGCCAACGACAUCCAUUGACACAUGUUCUUUGGGACAUCGAAAAAAAUCGAUUCUCCGCGUUCACGUCAUUUUAGAAAGUCGUGAGAUUUUUUGAAAAAAAUGUGCCGUGCGUUUUGGAAAGCUCCCAAGUUUACUCAUUAUUAUCGAAUUAAAUGCAUCAAAAGUCCGUUCAUUAUUUAGCUCGAAUUUAGCUUGAGGUGCUUCUAUAAAACCAGUGAAAAAUCUAUGGUUGUAAUUGUAUUACCUGUUAUAAGAUUUCCUCACAAAUCGUAAGAUUUCAACUUCAAGACUUUGCGUGAGAAUUAAAGUGCCUAUGCGACAAUUUUUUUAUGAUUGAAUUGCAAAGUUCAUUUAAAAUCAUAAUAUAAGUUGUUUUCUAAAACUUUAUAAUCUUUCCUGUAUGCCAAGAUUUUCGACUUUGUUUGAUUUACAAAUGUGACUUAAAUAACGUCACACUGCAUAAUGCGUUUUACAGAAGACUGUGUUGUAGCUUGUUAAAAUUCUCAUUCUCUCAAAUUAACAGACGAAAUGAUCGCUUUGAUAGCUCUUAAAGUAUAUAACUUUCAAUGUCAAUGGAAUUAUCAUAUGAGUUUGGCAUGGAAACGUUUUCUUUCUAAAAACUCAUUAUACAGUGUGACGUCAUUCAAGUCACAUUUGUAUAUCAAACAAAGUCGAAAAUUUUGACCGCUUUUAACUGAAAAUCACGGUCUCAGUCCGCGUUCUACAAAUUGCGGACUGAAUGAAUGAACGAAUGAACAAAUUUAUUUAAAGAGGGUAAAAACACAUGACAAGUUUGACAACGAUAUAACAGAAAAACCUGUGUUUUACAAAUCGCGGACUAAGUCCAUGUUUUAUAAAUUGAGUCUGCGUUUUAUAAAUCGCGGACUGAGUCCGCGUUUUCCCAGUUCGGACCAGUCCAGCCGUGUUUUACAACAUGCCUGAAAAUUGGUAGGUCUACAAUUACAAAUUAAACAUAGGAAAUCUGUGACACGUUCUGUAUGAAUGCUGCGGUAUCUCACCACCGCAAGAAGGGAAAAGAUUUUUAAAUGAACUUCCGCCCACCCCAAUUUGGUUCCGGAUAAAUUAUGAAAACAAAUGUAUUUUUUACAAUAAUUGGCUGUAUUACUGAAGUGAUAGCGGCGGUAUAUAGCGCUGGAACAAUCCUUAAUCUUAUUAAGAGAAGUUUGUUGCAUCUUCCGUGACAGGCGCUCAAAGCUACACAAGCAAAAUUUUAUUUUAAUUGAGACUUUUUCAUUAUUCAUGUACAUAACUGUACAGACAAGAAAACAAAGCCAAAACAAAUUUGGGAAGUACGCGGUAGGCCAAAAAUAUGUUAGAUAUUCAACACGUUUCAUUGCAAAUACUCGUGACCUUGCAUGGACCAAAUAAUCACUUAACGGGAUUAAAAGGUGUUAUAUUCGGAACUUUAGUCAUGUGCGUAAAAAAUACGUGCUGGGAUACAGGUGGUCCAGAAUCACGUUGCGUUUGGGACACUGUGUAUUAAUACUUCAAAUAUUAAGCGAAGACGUGCUCAACUAUCACAUCCAAACUAACACAUAAAGACAAGUACACCUUCUCCUAGAACGCACAAGUUGUUACAAAUUUUGUUCACAAGCUGUCGACAAGUUGUGUUCGUACUGCUUGUUCCUAGUUGUUGUAACAAGUUUGGAACCGAAGAUGUUAACAACUUGUAACAAGCUUGAUGGUAUUAUCAGACUUGUUACAAGGUUGUUCUAACAAGUAUGAUACAAUCAUGAUAUAACCAAAAUGUUACAAGGUUGACGACAUAAGAUUGUAACAAUAUUGUUAAAUAAUGAAUAGCCCUGUUUACACAUUAGAGACGGACAAGUCGUCUAGACGAACAAAAGCCCGUCCAUCAGUUUGUUCGGCUGAUAUGAAUUCUAGCCUGACAGAAUGGUUUCCUCAAAAUUGUAUCGGACUUGUGGGAACAACCUUGCGACAAGCCUGAUAAUAUCAACAAGGUUGUUACAAGAUGUUAAUAACAGCUUGUUCCAAACUUGUUGACAACUUGGGACAAACAGUGCGAACACAACUUGUUGACGGCUUGUUGGCAGAUUUGUUACAAGAUGAGAGAUGUUUUACGCGUGUAUAGAAAAGAUAAAUUAAUUUUCUCAAUUUAAAAGACAAUAUUCUAGCAAUUAUUUGACAUAAAAUCUAUAUUUAACGACUAUUUAUGCUAUAAAUAGCUGCAACGUCACUCUGCCUGUGGAUGGGAUAACUUUUGCGUGCGUGGUUUAAUAUAGGCAACAACAUUUGAACAACCAUCGAGAAAGACGAAUUAUCUGGAAAUAUCAGGAAAUUAGCCAUUCUCACGUGCACGCCUCCAUUUUUGGGUGGCUUUUCAGCCGAAAUCUGCGAGAAAAGUCCACAUAACAGCGACUUUUUAUAAUUUUUUGGAAGAAUGAUGGUAAAUUUGCUUUGUAAAUGGUUAGUUGAUUUUCACAUUGUUUUAAUUGUCUGCAUUGGUUAACGAGAAUUUGUUGCCACCCAAAAAUGGCGGAUAUUCGUAAUCGUGAGAAAGGCUACUUUGUUCCCAAAUUAGAUUGCCAAAGCAAAUUUAUUAAAUGAAGUAGUUAUGAUGUACAUUUUCUCCGCAGGCUCAGCGUUGAAACCAUAGUAACCACUUGAAAACAAUAUGGCGGACGGAGAAGGGGUUGUUUUAUGGAAUUCUACCGAUAUUUUCAACAUUUUGAACCAGGUUUACAAUCAUAUUCAAUAAAACUUUGUAGAUUACUUAGCUGGAUAAAUUAUCAUUGGUUUAUUGUAAACUUUUAAUGUCUAAGCCUUUAAUUAUUGUAUAAUCGACUGGUAAACAUGCGACUGUCUGAAACUAUAUUUUCAAUAUUUUGAACUAGAUUUUAUUAAUAUAACCGUAUUCAGUAAAACUAUGUGAAUUACUUGUAUAGAUAAAUUGCCGUUAGUUUAGGUAAAUGUUUUAGUAUUUAAAUCUCGAUUUCCCUGGCGAUAAAUUUAAAUUAUCUAAUUGUGUUGGUUUUUCCGUUUUUGUAAAACACCAUGUACAUAUGUCCGUGUUUACUUAUAAUUUAGCAGUGGUUCUAAUAGUAAGCCCGGAUCUUCAAUUAACACUUCCAGACCUGCCAACUCGCAUGGUUUUGUUGUGAGACCCACGAUUUUUAAUGCUUUCUCUUGGCCUCGCGACAAAGUCUUUAAAUCUCACGAUUUUUUAGGAAAUCUGUUCGAACUAUAUUUAUAGGCUUGUAAUAGGUAGCUAAUACAACCCUUGUUUUCAAUUUUUUGUAGAAACAUUGCACUCAGUGCCCAAUGAAAUGAUCAUGACAUUGAAUUUCGUUCCAAGACUUCCAAAAUUAAACACAGUACAUUUGAAGAAUAUGUUUAGCAGAGACAUUCUGACAUUCAUGAUUUUAAAAAAUCGAGCUAUAUAAAGAUUCUGAAAUCUCGCAUUUUUUCACAAAAUAUUACGCCUUUGCAAAGUACAACUCGCGAUUUUUGCCUCUCUGGGGCUGACAGGUCUGCACUUCUUUGGGGAACUAGAAAAUCAGAAUAUCUAGGAAAAUAUAAAUAAAAAAGUUGUUGAUAACAAUUUAAUACAAGUGAUGUAAUAUUGUGUUAUGUUUUGUAGACAGAUAUCAGAUAUCCAAGACUCUGUGAUCCUAACUAUUUACUCCUGCUCGGUA